rnacentral:sRNA from 1 species
UCAUCCUGGCAGUGUUUGCCGAUCGCUCGACCGCAC